rnacentral:rRNA from 1 species
UACGAAGGGGGCUAGCGUUGCUCGGAAUUACUGGGCGUAAAGCGCACGUAGGCGGCUCUUUAAGUCGGGGGUGAAAUCCUGGAGCUCAACUCCAGAACUGCCUUCGAUACUGAAGAGCUCGAGUCCGGGAGAGGUGAGUGGAACUGCGAGUGUAGAGGUGAAAUUCGUAGAUAUUCGCAAGAACACCAGUGGCGAAGGCGGCUCACUGGCCUGGUACUGACGCUGAGGUGCGAAAGCGUGGGGAGCAAACAGG